GGAGAAUACUUGGCUUGAUCUUUCUGCUGCGGCUACACCUUAAGGGACUUCCUAGGCAAGUGUGCAAAGGAUUUCCCCCGUGGCCUUGGAGCCUUGCGUUGGUGUUCCCUCGAAGCGGAAAGGGUGAUGUAGCGUAGUGGUGGUAAGUAUUUCCCUCAGUUUGAGAACCAAGGUAUCAAUCCAGUGGAGGAGUAUAUCAAGAUCCUACACAAACACAAAAACUUGCUCCCAAC
rnacentral:lncRNA from 1 species